rnacentral:rRNA from 1 species
UCGAGUGCGCGUACCGUAGCAAUACGGUAUGGCGCACGGCGCACGGGUGCGUAACACGUGGGCAAUCUGCCCUUCGAUGGGGAAUAUCUUCGGGAAACCGAAGCGAAUUCCGCAUAACAUUCCUUGGACUUCGGUUCGAGGACUCAAAGCCGUAAGGCGUCGAAGGAGGAGCCCGCGCCCGAUUAGCUAGUUGGUGAGGUAACGGCUCACCAAGGCAAUGAUCGGUAGCUGGUCUGAGAGGAUGGCCAGCCACACUGGAACUGAGACACGGUCCAGACUCCUACGGGAGGCAGCAGUGGGGAAUCUUGCGCAAUGGGCGAAAGCCUGACGCAGCGACGCCGCGUGGGGGAUGAAGCAUCUCGGUGUGUAAACCCCUUUCGACUGGGACGAAUGCCUCGCAAGAGGAGUGACGGUACCAGUAGAAGAAGCCCCGGCUAACUACGUGCCAGCAGCCGCGGUAAGACGUAGGGGGCCAGCGUUGUUCGGAAUUACUGGGUGUAAAGGGUUCGUAGGCGGUGUGGCAAGUCGGGAGUGAAAUUUCUGGGCUUAACCCAGAAGCUGCUUCCGAAACUGCUGUGCUUGAGUGUGGGAGAGGCGCGUGGAAUUGCAGGUGUAGCGGUGAAAUGCGUAGAUAUCUGCAGGAACACCCGUGGCGAAAGCGGCGCGCUGGACCACUACUGACGCUGAGGAACGAAAGCUAGGGGAGCAAACAGGAUUAGAUACCCUGGUAGUCCUAGCCCUAAACGAUCAGGACUUGGGGUGCCACCCGUUCGGGUGUCGUCCCGGAGCUAACGCGUUAAGUCCUGCACCUGGGGAGUACGGUCGCAAGACUGAAACUCAAAGGAAUUGACGGGGGCCCGCACAA